rnacentral:rRNA from 1 species
AUGCAAGUCGAGGGGUAAGGUAGCAAUAUCUGAGACCGGCGCACGGGUGCGUAACGCGUAUGCAAUCUACCUUUUGCAGAGGGAUAGCCCAGAGAAAUUUGGAUUAAUACCUCAUAGUAUAGUACCUUCGCAUGGAGGAACUAUUAAAGUCACAACGGCAAAAGAUGAGCAUGCGUCCCAUUAGUUAGUUGGUAAGGUAACGGCUUACCAAGACAGCGAUGGGUAGGGGUCCUGAGAGGGAGAUCCCCCACACUGGUACUGAGACACGGACCAGACUCCUACGGGAGGCAGCAGUGAGGAAUAUUGGACAAUGGGCGCAAGCCUGAUCCAGCCAUGCCGCGUGCAGGAUGACGGUCCUAUGGAUUGUAAACUGCUUUUGCACAGGAAGAAACACCCCGACGUGUCGGGGCUUGACGGUACUGUGAGAAUAAGGAUCGGCUAACUCCGUGCCAGCAGCCGCGGUAAUACGGAGGAUCCAAGCGUUAUCCGGAAUCAUUGGGUUUAAAGGGUCCGUAGGCGGUUUAGUAAGUCAGUGGUGAAAGCCCAUCGCUCAACGGUGGAACGGCCAUUGAUACUGCUAGACUUGAAUUAUAAGGAAGUAACUAGAAUAUGUAGUGUAGCGGUGAAAUGCUUAGAGAUUACAUGGAAUACCAAUUGCGAAGGCAGGUUACUACUUAUGGAUUGACGCUGAUGGACGAAAGCGUGGGUAGCGAACAGGAUUAGAUACCCUGGUAGUCCACGCCGUAAACGAUGGAUACUAGCUGUUGGGUGCAAGUUCAGUGGCUAAGCGAAAGUGAUAAGUAUCCCACCUGGGGAGUACGUUCGCAAGAAUGAAACUCAAAGGAAUUGACGGGGGCCCGCACAAGCGGUGGAGCAUGUGGUUUAAUUCGAUGAUACGCGAGGAACCUUACCAAGGCUUAAAUGUAGAUUGACCGUUU